rnacentral:rRNA from 1 species
AGCGAACGCUGGCGGCAGGCUUAACACAUGCAAGUCGAGCGGACAUUCCGGGGUCAGCGGCGGACGGGUGAGUAACGCGUGGGAAGGUGCCUUCCGGUUCGGAAUACCCCUGGGAAACUAGGGCUAAUACCGGAAACGCCCUUCUGGGGAAGGGUAUACUGCCGGAGGUUCGGCCGGGGUCUGCUUCGCUUGUUGGGGGGGUAAGGGCCUACCACGGCGAGGAUCAGUAGCGGGUCGGAGAGGAGGGGCCGCCACGCUGGGACUGGGACACGGCCCAGACUCCUAGGGGAGGCGGGAGUGGGGGAUAUUGGAAAAUCGGCGCGAGGCUGAUGCAGCCAUGCCGGGUGAGUGCUGAAGGCGUUAGGGAUGUAAAGCUCUUUUAUCCGGGGCGGUAAUGACGGUACCGGAGGAAUAAGCCCCGGCUAACUUCGUG